rnacentral:rRNA from 1 species
UACGAAGGGGGCUAGCGUUGCUCGGAAUCACUGGGCGUAAAGGGUGCGUAGGCGGGUCUUAAGUCAGGGGUGAAAUCCCGGGGCUCAACCUCGGAACUGCCUUUGAUACUGCAAGUCUCGAGUCCGAUAGAGGUGAGUGGAAUUCCUAGUGUAGAGGUGAAAUUCGUAGAUAUUAGGAAGAACACCAGUGGCGAAGGCGGCUCACUGGAGUCGGUACUGACGCUGAGGUGCGAAAGCGUGGGGAGCAAACAGGG